rnacentral:rRNA from 1 species
UACGAAGGGGGCGAGCGUUGUUCGGAUUUACUGGGCGUAAAGGGCGCGCAGGCGGUUCUUCAAGUCAGGCGUGAAAGCCCCGGGCUCAACCUGGGAACGGCGCUUGGGACUGGAGGACUGGAGUUCGGGAGAGGAGCGUGGAAUUCCCAGUGUAGAGGUGAAAUUCGUAGAUAUUGGGAAGAACACCGGUGGCGAAGGCGGCGCUCUGGACCGAUACUGACGCUGAGGCGCGAAAGCGUGGGGAGCAAACAGGAUUAGAUACCCUGGUAGUCCACGCGGUAAACGAUGUGUGCUAGACGUUGGGGGGCCUAGCCCUUCGGUGUCGCAGCUAACGCUUUAAGCACACCGCCUGGGGAGUACGGCCGCAAGGUUAAAACUCAAAG